CAUUAUCGUUAAACCGAGGCGCGACGGCUGUCGCUGACCUUCCCCGGUCGUGCACGCCCGAGCCCCUCUCACAAUCCAUCUCACCCUUUGUGCAUCACCGCGUGGGUCCUCCUUUGCCGGAGGGUCCGCGUCUUUACACAAAACUCGAUACAGUGUAGAAUGUUUAUUUUCGCGCUCGCACGCGAUCAAUAAUACAACUUUCAACAACGGAUCUCUUGGCUCUCGCAUCGAUGAAGAACGCAGCGAAAUGCGAUACGUAAUGUGAAUUGCAGAAUUCAGUGAAUCAUCGAAUCUUUGAACGCACCUUGCGCCCCUUGGCAUUCCGAGGGGCACACCCGUUUGAGUGUCGUGAAAUCUUCAAAAACCCUCUCUUUUGAGGAUUUUUGGACUUGGAGGUUCAAUGCUCGCUUUCGCCUUUUAGAAAGCGAGCUCCUCUCAAAUGAAUCAGUGGGGUCUGCUUUGCCGGUCCUUGACGUGAUAAGAUCUUUCUACGUUUUGGAUUCGACAUCGUCCCGCUCCCAAUCGUCCCACGGACAAAAGGAUGGUGCUCCGGUCGCGGUCGGACCCACCAAAAAAACCUUGACCUCAAAUCGGGUGAGACUACCCGCUGAACUUAAGCAUAUCAAUAAGCGGAGGAAAAGAAACUAACAAGGAUUCCCCUAGUAACUGCGAGUGAAGCGGGAAAAGCUCAAAUUUAAAAUCUGGUGGUCUUUGGCCAUCCGAGUUGUAAUCUAGAGAAGCGUCUUCCGCGCUGGACCGUGCACAAGUCUCCUGGAACGGAGCGUCGUAGAGGGUGAGAAUCCCGUCUUUGGCAUGGACACACCAGGGCUUUUGCGAUGCGCUCUCGAAGAGUCGAGUUGUUUGGGAAUGCAGCUCAAAAUGGGUGGUGAACUCCAUCUAAAGCUAAAUAUUGGCGAGAGACCGAUAGCGAACAAGUACCGUGAGGGAAAGA
rnacentral:rRNA from 1 species